rnacentral:rRNA from 1 species
GGAAUCAUUGGGCGUAAAGAGCGUGUAGGCGGCCCGAUAAGUCCGAUGGGAAAGUCCAGGGCUCAACCCUGGGAUGCCGGUGGAUACUGUCGGGCUCGAGUCCGGAAGAGGAGUGUGGAAUUCCUGGUGUAGCGGUGAAAUGCGCAGAUAUCAGGAGGAACACCAAUGGCGAAGGCAGCACUCUGGGACGUGACUGACGCUGAGACGCGAAAGCGUGGGGAGCAAACAGG